rnacentral:tRNA from 1 species
GCCGCCAUGGUGAAAUUGGUAGACACGCUGCUCUUAGGAAGCAGUGUUUAAAACAUCUCGGUUCGAAUCCGAGUGGCGGCA